GGACGCCGAGUUCCCAGGGGGCUAAAAACGGUCUGGGAUGGGGGUGGCCAUCUCUCCUCCCUCUCAUCGUGUUGAAGGAGCUGGGGCCAAAGGUCAGGAUGACUUGGAAGGCAGGGAAGCAGAGUGAAGACAUGGAAGAUUGAAGAACUCUGGACAUAGCCUGGGGCUUCCACCUCAGAGUAUCAGGUGAGAAUCUUGUCCUCAGAAGACUGUGGGAAAGGGUCUAUUGUAGCCCAUUUUACAGAUAAAGAAACUGAGGGACAGAGUGCAAUUCCUCCUAGGAACUCUCUGGAAAUAUGCUGGCUGAGCCUUCUGGCUACACAACACUGGAGUGUUUGGCCUAGCAGAUACACUGGAAUCCCUUCAGGGGGUCUCCAUGUUCUACUUCCAGAGACACUGCUCCUGGGGAUGCCAUGGCUUAGGAGGGGGAUCCAGACCCGAAUUGUCUUUAGGAGUUGGUGAGAUGGGUCAGCGUGCUUGCUGUCAAGCCUGACACCGGAGUUCUAUCCCCUGGACCCAAGUGAUGAAAGAAAAG
rnacentral:lncRNA from 1 species